CCCUUAGAUGUUCUGGGAUGCACGCGCGUUACACUGAUUCGUUCAACGAGUUUAUGACCUUGCCUGAUGAGGUGGGGGAAUCUUUUCAAAUCGCAUCGUGAUGGGGAUAGAGUAUUGUAACUGUUAGUCUUCAACGAGGAAUUCCUAGUAAGUACGUGUCAUCAGCUCGUACUGAUUAUGUCCCUGCCCUUUGUACACACCGCCCGUCGCUCCUACCGAUUGAGUGCUCAGGUGGAUAGUAUGGACUGCAUCAGUGUUCGGUCUCCGAAUGUUGACGCGAGAAAUUCUGUGAAUCUUAUUGCUUAGAGGAAGGAGAAGUCGUAACA
rnacentral:rRNA from 1 species